rnacentral:rRNA from 1 species
AUGAAUAUUGCCCUCCUAUCCCGGUGGCUGUGGCGCAUCUCGCAGGGUCAGGGUGGCCUAUGGCUGGACAUUAUCCGGAAUAAAUACCUGCGCGGCCAACCCCUUGCCUUCUGCCAGAAGUCGGGAGGUUCUCAGUUCUGGCAGUCCCUCGUCCAGCUCCUCCCUGUGCUCCGCAUUGGUACCUCUAUCUCGGUAGGGUCCGGCCUCUCGACGCUCUUCUGGUUUGACCGAUGGGCCGGCGACUCCCCCUUUGCGGCUCGCUUCCCCAUCCUCUUCUCUAUCUCUGUCGACCCCAUGAUUUCUGUUGAUAGGGCCCUUAUUGACUUAGGGCGCCUCGCUUUUCAUCGGCCAUUUGGGCCUGCGGAAUCCGUCGCCUGGCGUGAGCUGCUUGAUUGCGUCGCUCUGCAUGAGCCGCUGGUGGAUGGAGCCCAAGACCGUGUGCGUUGGCACUUGGAGUCGUCGGGCCAGUUCUCUACCAAAUCGCUCUACAUGGCCAUUGCCCCCUCCUCCGCUCCCCCCCCCCUCUUGAUGGUAUGGUCCGUCCGUCUCCCACUGAAGAUCCGCAUCUUCAUGUGGCAGUGGAUCCAGGGACGGAUCCCAUCCGGUGUGGAGGUCCGCAAGCGUAAUGGCCCAGGCACUGGUAUCUGCCCCCUCUGUGCUGUCCCCGAGGACUCCAACCACAUCUUCUUCGCGUGCGCCUCCGCCCGGUUCCUCUGGAGCUGCUUCCGCGAGAUUGUCCGGGGGGGGGGGUUGGACCCACACCAACUUCCCCGACUUAUUUGCUGA